AUGACCGAAGCGCUUCACUGUGCGCUCCAUUUGCGCAGUCUGACCUAAUUAACGGAGAUGAUCCUCUAAGAAGAAGAAUACUCCUCUAUUUAGCAUGGCAGGUGAAGAGCGGGAUGCGCGGGUAAGUGGUUACUUGAUUUCUAUAGUGGUUUAUGUAUGCAAAGAUUAAGUAUCAAACGUUUGUUAAAGCAAUGGCUGCUGUUGUUUAUAAUGUAAACUUUAUAACGUAAAUUAAGUCCGUUAUUAAGCCAACAUGGCGAGUGAAGAACGGGAUGGUCGUGUAAAAUAGCAUGGCUUCUGUCAUGGUCGAUUCUAGGAUUGUCAUUCAAGGGAGCUCAGCUAUAAAUUUGAUCGAGGACUAAUUUGGGGGUGGAAUCGAUCGCGUACUAAAGUGAAGACCGGGAGAGCGUAAUGCCGUUUUGGGUGUGGGUGGGUAUGGGGGGUGGAGAGAGGAGAUGAUCGCCGACUGUAAGGAACGGGCGGGGUGGGGGUCGGCAGUGUUGAUCGCGGACUAUGAAGAUAACAAAUGAUAAAAGGUAUAAUUGGUAUUUGUCUUACAGGCACUGUCAUCAGAAGUAGAAAUAGCAGCAAAAGCUCUGAUCGAUGUAUUAGCCAGGGGCCUUACUCCAUCUUCGUAAAGAAAUGCACUAGCUAGUGGUAGUAGACCAAUGAGAGAAAGCAUCUCAAGUGGGACCAUUCCUUUGCCUGCAGAGCCUGAAAACAUGGCAAUUCCCAAGUAUGUUUGGGACAGAGAUUUUUCUGUGGCCAAACCUGGAAACAUUAAAAAAACUGAUUUUCAAAUCCAUGUCCUCUCUGAACCAUCACCCUUCACACCAAAAGGAGAUGAAGACCUUGAGCUUGUCCAUGCUGGACUUGGAAAAAGGCUUUUAACUGUUCCAGAUAAUUUUAAACACAGUGAGAUUGUCAGUCUGCUUGAAGGAGAGUUUCCCAAAUUAAAAACACUUCAGGGUGGCUGGAUGUUUUACAAGUCUACAGGUAUUUAUGUUUUGCAUGUUACAUAUAAACAAAAAAUGAUUUGUGUGCAUU